rnacentral:rRNA from 1 species
GACAGAGGAGCCAAGCGUUGUCCGGACUGACUGGGCGUAAAGCGCACGCAGGCGGCGCUGCGCGUGGGGUGUGAAAGCUCUUGGCUUAACUGAGAGAGGCCAUCCCAUACGGCAGUGCUCGAGCGAUGCAGAGGUCCGCGGAAUUGCCGGUGUAGUGGUGAAAUGCGUAGAGAUCGGCAGGAACAGCCCAGGGGGAAACCAGCGGACUGGGCAUCGGCUGACGCUCAGGUGCGACAGCGUGGGGAGCGAACCGG